ACGGGGAGACGCGCCUGGGGCAGGGCUGGAGGAGAGCAGCGCUUAUCUGACCCCGGCUGCCCUCCCGCCCCAGGUGCCAGGCCCGAGUCACCAGGCUCCCCCAGCGGAGGGGCGGGUCUGAGCGGGGAGGCGACAGGGACCGGCUGGGGUGCGCUGCUGCGACCCCGCCACUCUCCGGCCGCCUCUGACCCCAGCCCUCGGCCCAGUCCGCGAGCUAGCGCAGCAAAACAAAACAAACUCGCGCUGGUUUCCUGUUGUGCAACCCAGUCCUGAGUAAGUCCGGGCCGAAAGGGCGCCGCCGCCGGCCCGCGGCGGGGAGCCCGGGCGGCGGGGAGACCCGCGCGCUGCCCUUCCCGGCCGAGCUGGGACGCCCGGGCAGCCGCGGGCCCCGCCAGCCGCAGCCCCCACGGAACCGGUGCCCCAGCCCCCGGGUCUCCUUCCGCGUCUUUCCUCCCAAACAGCCCGGCGAGUCGAGGGCGCGACCCGCGAAGCCAGAAACAACCUUCUCCCAAAGCGUGUCCCUCCAGGUACCUAAUUGAAUCAUCCAUAGGAUGACAAAUCCGUCCGGGCCAAGUUUUCCAGACACUUGGGCAACUUCCUCGUCCCCGGGGUGAUUUGUCAGCUCCAGUGAGUAACUUGGAAGUGUCGCUCGGGGCAAGGGACGGGAGCCGUGAGCACGACAGAGUGCCCGAGACUGAGACAUUCUCCAAACAGUGCUGACAUUCUGUCGGCCCCAGAGAAGUGUAAACGCGGAGUGACGAAGCCUAAGCCGGCGGGGAGUGCGAGCGUCUGGGUACGUCUGCGCAUUCUGCGGCGUGGGAGGUGAUAGUUAUAGACCUGGCGGCUGCGGGUGGCGGGACCGUCCCAGCGACAAGCUCAAGGACCCCCAACCGAAGGGCCUUCUGGAGCAGUGGGGACCUGGUCUCGGGCGAGGUGCGAGCGUGCAAAAAAAUGCCCUUGGUGGAGCUUCACAAACACGUGGGAGCGGAAAAGGCAGCUUCAGCCCCGUGUGUGUGCGCGCGCGGGACCUCACGUCACCCCACCAACUCUCACUUCUCCAAAGUUUCCCUUCAGUGGGGACUCCUGGGUGGCGUGCAGGACCACAGCCGCGCGUCCUGUAACUUGCCUUCAUUGUGUGGCCCUCUGGCCCCUGCUGUUCAAAAGAAAAACCAAAAACAAAAUCUCCUCCUAAUUAAAGAAACUUUAAUACCUUGUGGA